rnacentral:rRNA from 1 species
CACCGCGGUUAUACGAGAGACCCAAGUUGACAGACAAUCGGCGUAAAGAGUGGUUAAGUACCAUGCAUUACUAAAGCCAAACACCUUCAAAGCUGUUAUACGCACCCGAAGGUCAGAAGCCCAAUCACGAAAGUGGCUUUAAACCAACUGAACCCACGAAAGCUAGGGUA